rnacentral:rRNA from 2 species
AUUGAACGCUGGCGGCAGGCCUAACACAUGCAAGUCGAACGGUAACAGGAAGAAGCUUGCUUCUUUGCUGACGAGUGGCGGACGGGUGAGUAAUGUCUGGGAAACUGCCUGAUGGAGGGGGAUAACUACUGGAAACGGUAGCUAAUACCGCAUAACGUCGCAAGACCAAAGAGGGGGACCUUCGGGCCUCUUGCCAUCGGAUGUGCCCAGAUGGGAUUAGCUAGUAGGUGGGGUAACGGCUCACCUAGGCGACGAUCCCUAGCUGGUCUGAGAGGAUGACCAGCCACACUGGAACUGAGACACGGUCCAGACUCCUACGGGAGGCAGCAGUGGGGAAUAUUGCACAAUGGGCGCAAGCCUGAUGCAGCCAUGCCGCGUGUAUGAAGAAGGCCUUCGGGUUGUAAAGUACUUUCAGCGGGGAGGAAGGGAGUAAAGUUAAUACCUUUGCUCAUUGACGUUACCCGCAGAAGAAGCACCGGCUAACUCCGUGCCAGCAGCCGCGGUAAUACGGAGGGUGCAAGCGUUAAUCGGAAUUACUGGGCGUAAAGCGCACGCAGGCGGUUUGUUAAGUCAGAUGUGAAAUCCCCGGGCUCAACCUGGGAACUGCAUCUGAUACUGGCAAGCUUGAGUCUCGUAGAGGGGGGUAGAAUUCCAGGUGUAGCGGUGAAAUGCGUAGAGAUCUGGAGGAAUACCGGUGGCGAAGGCGGCCCCCUGGACGAAGAC